rfam:Zea mays cultivar B73 chromosome 7, whole genome shotgun sequence.
ACUUGUCUAGCUCAGUCGGUAGAGUGCAAAGUUUUUAACCUUGAGGUCGUGGGUUCGAGCCCCAUGGUGGGUG